AAAUCAGUUAUGUUCCCUAGAUCGUAUGAAUUACAUGGAUAACUGUGGUAAUUCUAGAGCUAAUACAUGCAUCCAGCUCGGCUGCCUUGUGCAGCGAGCGCAGUUAUUAGAACAAAACCAAUCCGGCUUCUGUCGGUAAAUUGGUGACUCUGAAUAACCGAAGCGGAGCGCUAAGGUCUCGUACCGGCGCCAGAUCUUUCAAGUGUCUGACUUAUCAGCUUGUUGCGAGGUUAUGUUCCUCGCAUGGCUGUUACGGGUGACGGGGAAUCAGGGUCCGAUUCCGGAGAGGGAGCCUGAGAAACGGCUACCACAUCCAAGGAAGGCAGCAGGCGCGCAAAUUACCCACUCCCGGCACGGGGAGGUAGUGACGAAAAAUAACGAUGCGAGAGCUUUUAGCUUUUCGUAAUCGGAAUGGGUACACUUUAAAUCCUUUAACGAGGAUCUAUUGGAGGGCAAGUCUGGUGCCAGCAGCCGCGGUAAUUCCAGCUCCAAUAGCGUAUAUUAAAGUUGCUGCGGUUAAAAAGCUCGUAGUUGGAUCCGGGCAGUCGACGCGCGGUGCGCUUUACGGCGUUACUGCGUGCUCGUCGCCACUAUCCGGCCUUUGUCUUUCAUGUUCUUUACUGAGCGUGAUCGGCGACCGGGAACGUUUACUUUGAAAAAAUUAGAGUGCUUAAAGCAGGCAUNUGGCCUUGCAUAAUGGUGCAUGGAAUAAUGGAAUAGGACCUCGGUUCUAUUUUGUUGGUUUUCGGAGCUCGAGGU
rnacentral:rRNA from 1 species